AUGAGCAGCCUGAAGCCCAAGGACACUGCCCAGUAUCACUGUGCCCGGUCGCAGGGGUUGGUGGAGUCCGGAGGGGCUGUGAAAAAGCCCGGAGACUCUCUCCGCCUCUCCUGCAAAGCCUCCGGGUUCACAUUCAGCAGCUACGAUAUGAAUUGGGUCCGCCAGGCUCCUGGGAAGGGACUGGAGUGGGUGUCAUUCAUCGGCAGCAGAGGGCGAAAUAUCUACUACUUCGACGCAGUCAAAGGACGAUUCACCAUCUCCAGGGACAACUCCAACAACCUGCUGAAUCUGCAAAUUUGCGGCCUGAAGCCCGAGGACACCGCCCAGUAUCACUGCGGGUGA